CCACAAUCAAAGGUUGUGUGUAACCAUGUCGAUAAAUUUCACUGUAUGUGUGAUUCACAAGCGGCUGGUGGCACCUUAAUUGAGGAGGAUGGGCUCAUAGUAAUGGCUGGAACAGAAUGGUAUCGAACACAUUAAAAACAUGAUUUUCUUGUGUUUGAUACCAUUCCAAUCACACCAUUCUAGCCAUUAUCAUGAGCCAUCCUGCCCUCAGCAGCCUCCUGUGGCAUGUUUGUGUGACAUGACUCAGACCAUGUAUCUACUAUCUACUUGUUCUAUGCUCACCUCCACUUCCCACAAUGCCUUGCUGCUAGUGGCGGAGGUGGCGGACUGGCGUCCUGUAGUCCUGAGAAAGACAUACUCCUUCUUCUUGAAGUCGUCACAUGUCAGGAACUUCUCCUGCUCUGCAUGGAACAGCCGAACGACGUCACCCUGGCAACACAAACACAGACACCAUUCACGGAGUUCACCUGAAAACCAAGAGGAUGAGUCAGGAAAGGCUAAGACAGUCGUUACAGAAUCACCCACCAACAAAGGACCAAGCAGCGUGGUAACGGGCAGCAGCAGGAGGAGCAGCGCAAUCAGGACUAUUGGAGUUGGGAGGAGAUACUGGAUGGAGAAGGACCCUGGAUGCAGCCGGGGUAAUAUUGCCGCCCCAAGGCAGAGCUGGAGUCAGCCAAAGCGGAGAGGCGGCGGUUUGAAGAAGCAGCACGGCUGGAAGCCCGAGAGGCAGCCCCAAAAAUGUAUUGGGCGGGCACACGGGGAGUGUAGCAAAGCCAGGUAGGAGGCCUGCGCCAACUCCCCGUGUUUACUGUGGAGAGAGAGGGCUUCGUACUGGUCAGGCACCGUGUUAUGCGGUUGAGCGCACAGUGUCCCCAGUACGCGUGCUUAGCCCGGUGCACUACAUCCCAGCUCCCCGCAUCUGCCGGGCUAGGGUGAGGAUCCAGCCAGGGCGGAUGGUGCCAGCCCUGCUCUCCAGACAGCCAGUGGGUCUCCUCAGGCCAGGAUAUCCUGCGCCGGCGUUGCGCACUAUGUCUCCCGUAUGUCUGCACAGCCCAGUGCGUCCUGUGCCUGCGUUCCCCGCACGUGCCGGGCUAGAGUCACCAUCCAGCCAGGACGGGUUGUUCAGGACAUUAGCUCGAGACCUCCAGUGUGUCUUCACGGUCCGGUCUAUCCAGUACCACCAGUGCCAACACCACGCACCAGACCUUCAGUACGCCUCCACAGCCCAGUACAUCCUGUUCCUCCUCCCCGCACUCGCCCUAAGGUGCGUGUCUACAGCCCGGUACCACCAGUGCCGGGACCACGCAUCAGGUCACCAAUGCGCCUCCUGGGUCCAGUACUCCCUGUUCCUGCUCCUCGCACUCGCCCUGAGGUGCGUGUCCCCAGCCCUGUACCACCAGUACCUGCACCACGCACCAGGCCUACAGUGCCUCGCCAGUCCAGAACGUCCUGCGACAGUACCCAGUCCAGAGUGUCCGGCGACAGUACCCAG